CNNGNUACGANUUCGCCCUUGAGUUUGAUCAUGGCUCANGAUGAACGCUAGCGGCAGGCUUAACACAUGCCAAGCUCGAGGGGCAGCAUGUCCAGCAAUGGAUGAUGGCGACCGGCGGAAGGGUGCGUAACGCGUGAGCAACAUGCCCUAUACAGGGAGAUACACCAGGGAAACUUGGUCUAACAUCCCAUAGCAUUCAUUGAAGGCAUCUUUAAUGAAUUAAAGCUUCGGUGGUAUAGGAUUGGCUCGCGUGACAUUAGCCAGAUGGUGAGGUAACGGCUCACCAUAGCAAUGAUGUCUAGGGGUUUUGAGAGGAAGGCCCCCCACACUGGGACUGAGACACGGCCCAGACUCCUACGGGAGGCAGCAGUGAGGAAUAUUGGACAAUGGAUGGAAAUCUGAUCCAGCCAUGCCGCGUGCAGGAAGACGGCCUUAUGGGUUGUAAACUGCUUUUAUACGGGAGCAAUAAGGGUUACGAGUAAUCCGAUGAGAGUACUGUAUGAAUAAGGAUCGGCUAACUCCGUGCCAGCAGCCGCGGUAAUACGGAGGAUCCGAGCGUUAUCCGGAAUUAUUGGGUUUAAAGGGUGCGUAGGCGGCCAUUUAAGUCAGCGGUGAAAUUUUGCAGCUUAACUGUAACAGUGCCGUUGAUACUGUUUGGCUAGGAUUUGGUUGUAGUGUGCGGAAUGUGUGGUGUAGCGGUGAAAUGCUUAGAUAUCACACAGAACACCGAUUGCGAAGGCAGCACACUAAGUCAUUAUUGACGCUGAGGCACGAAAGUGUGGGGAUCAAACAGGAUUAGAUACCCUGGUAGUCCACACUGUAAACGAUGAUAACUCGCUGUCGGCGAUAC
rnacentral:rRNA from 1 species